GACGAACGCUGGCGGCGUGCUUAACACAUGCAAGUCGAACGGAAAGGCCCUGCUUUUGUGGGGUUCUCGAGUGGCGAACGUGUGAGUAACACGUGAGUAACCUGCCCUUGACUUUGUGAUAACUUCAGGAAACUGGGGCUAAUACCGGAUAGGAUCUCCUGCUGCAUGUUGGUGGUUGGAAAGUUUCGGCGGUUGGGGAUGGACUCGCGGCUUAUCAGCUUGUUGGUUGGGUAGUGGCUUACCAAGGCUUUGACGGGUAGCCGGCCUGAGAGGGUGACCGGCGACAUUGGGACUGAGAUACGGCACAGACUGGUACGGGAGGCAGCAGUGGGGAAUAUUGCACAAUGGGAGGAAGCCUGAUGCAGAAACGCGGCGUGCGGGAUGACGGCCUUCGGGUUGUAAACAGCUUUCGCAUGUGACGAAGAGUGAGUGACGGUAAUGGGUAAAGAAGCACCGGCUAACUACGUG
rnacentral:rRNA from 1 species